UACGUAGGGUGCGAGCGUUGUCCGGAAUUAUUGGGCGUAAAGAGCUCGUAGGCGGCUUGUCGCGUCGGAUGUGAAAGCCCGGGGCUUAACUCCGGGUCUGCAUUCGAUACGGGCAGGCUAGAGUUCGGUAGGGGAGAUCGGAAUUCCUGGUGUAGCGGUGAAAUGCGUAGAUAUCGCUUGGAACGCCAAUGGUGAAAACAGCUUGCUGGGGGUGUGCUGACGCUGAGACACGAAAGCCAGGGGAGCAAACGGG
rnacentral:rRNA from 1 species